rnacentral:rRNA from 1 species
AUUGAACGCUGGCGGCAGGCCUAACACAUGCAAGUCGGACGGUAGCACAGGGGAGCUUGCUCCUCGGGUGACGAGUGGCGGACGGGUGAGUAAUGUCUGGGGAUCUGCCCGAUAGAGGGGGAUAACCACUGGAAACGGUGGCUAAUACCGCAUAAUGUCGCAAGACCAAAGAGGGGGACCUUCGGGCCUCUCACUAUCGGAUGAACCCAGAUGGGAUUAGCUAGUAGGCGGGGUAACGGCCCACCUAGGCGACGAUCCCUAGCUGGUCUGAGAGGAUGGCCAGCCACACUGGAACUGAGACACGGUCCAGACUCCUACGGGAGGCAGCAGGGGGAAUAUUGCACAAUGGGCGCAAGCCUGAUGCAGCCAUGCCGCGUGUAUGAAGAAGGCCUUCGGGUUGUAAAGUACUUUCAGCGGGGAGGAAGGCGAUGUGGUUAAUAACCGCGUCGAUUGACGUUACCCGCAGAAGAAGCACCGGCUAACUCCGUGCCAGCCGCCGCGGUAA